CAGUAGCCGCGGUAAUACGUAGGUGGCAAGCGUCGUCCGGAAUUAUUGGGCGUAAAGGGCUCGCAGGCGGUUUCUUAAGUCUGAUGUGAAAGCCCCCGGCUCAACCGGGGAGGGUCAUUGGAAACUGGGAAACUUGAGUGCAGAAGAGGAGAGUGGAAUCCCACGUGUAACGGUGAAAUGCGUAGAGAUGUGGAGGAACACCAGUGGCGAAGGCGACUCUCUGGUCUGUAACUGACGCUGAGGAGCGAAAGCGUGGGGAGCGAACAGGAUUAGAUACCCCCGUAGUCCCUGUCUCUUAUAC
rnacentral:rRNA from 1 species